AAUCGGAAUGAGUACAAUUUAAAUCCCUUAGCGAGGAACAAUUAGAGGGCAAGUCUGGUGCCAGCAGCCGCGGUAAUUCCAGCUCUAAUAGCGUAUAUUAAAGUUGUUGUGGUUAAAAAGCUCGUAGUUGAACCUGGGCCCCGCGCCGGCCGGUCCGCCUCACCGCGUGCACUGGUUCGGCCGGGGCUUUCGCCUGGGGAACCUCGUGCCCUUCACUGGGCGUGGGCGGAACCAGGACGUUUACUGUGAAAAAAUUAGAGUGUUCAAAGCAGGCCUAUGCUCGGAUACGUUAGCAUGGAAUAAUAAAAUAGGACGUGCGGUUCUAUUUUGUUGGUUAUGGGACCGCCGUAAUGAUUAAUAGGGACAGUCGGGGGCAUCAGUAUUCGGUAGUCAGAGGUGAAAUUCUUGGACCUACCGAAGACUAACUACUGCGAAAGCAUUUGCCAAGGAUGUUUUCAUUAAUCAGGAACGAAAGUUAGGGGAUCGAAAACGAUCAGAUACCGUUGUAGUCUUAACCAUAAACUAUGCCGAUUAGGGAUCGGACGGUGCUACUUACUGGCCCGUUCGGCACCUUUCGAGAAAUCAAAAUGUGUGGGUUCCUGGGGAAGUAUGGUGGCAACGCUGAAACUUAAAGAAAUUGACGGAAGGGCACCACCAGGGGUGGAGCCUGCGGCUUAAUUUGACCCAACACGGGGAAACUCACCAGGUCCAGACACAAUGAGGAUUGACAGAUUGAGAGCUCUUUCUUGAUUUUGUGGACGGUGGUGCAUGGCCGUUCUUAGUUGGUGGAGUGAUUUGUCUGCUUAAUUGCGAUAACGAACGAGACCUUAACCUGCUAAAUAGCCCACGUUGCUUCUGCAGCGCGCCGGCUUCUAGAGGGACUAUCGGCUCAAGCCGAUGGAAGUUUGAGGCAAUAACAGGUCUGUGAUGCUCUUAGAUGUUCUGGGCCGCACGCGCGCUACACUGACAGGGCCAGCGAGUUCUUUCCUUGGCCGAAAGGCCCGGGUAAUCUUGUUAAACCCUGUCGUGCUGGGGAUAGAGCAUUGCAAUUAUUGCUCUUCAACGAGGAAUCCCUAGUAGGCGCAAGUCAUCAGCUUGCGUCGACUACGUCCCUGUCCUUUGUACACACCGCCCGUCGCUACUACCGAUUGAACGGCUUAGUGAGGCUUUCGGACUGGCCCGGGGAGGUCGGCAACGACCACCUCGGGCCGGAAAGCUAUCCAAACUUGGUCGUUUAGAGGAAGUAAAAGUCGUAACAAGGU
rnacentral:rRNA from 1 species